GACGAAGGAUGCAAGCGUUAUCCGGAUUCAUUGGGUUUAAAGGGAGCGUAGGUGGCCUUAUAAGCCAGUGGUGAAAUCUCGCAGCUUAACUGCGAAAUUGCCAUUGAUACUGUAGGGCUUGAGUAUAGAUGCCGUUGGCGGAAUAUGACAUGUAGUGGUGAAAUACAUAGAGAUGUCAUAGAACACCGAUUGCGAAGGCAGCUAACGAAACUAUAACUGACACUGAGGCACGAAAGCUAGGGGAGCAAACAGG
rnacentral:rRNA from 1 species